UAUACGACCGUACCGCAAACCGACACUGGUGCGCGAGAUGAGUAUUCUAAGGCGCUUGAGAGAACUCAGGAGAAGGAACUCGGCAAAUUGACACCGUAACUUCGGAAGAAGGUGUGCCCUAUUAGUGUGUAGUGAACAACGAAGCAUGAAUGGGUUGCAAAAAAUCGGUGGCUGCGACUGUUUAUUAAAAACACAGCACUCUGCAAACACGAAAGUGGACGUAUAGGGUGUGACGCCUGCCCGGUGCUGGAAGAUUAAAUGAUGGGGUGCAAGCUCUUGAUUGAAGUCCCAGUAAACGGCGGCCGUAACGAUAACGGUCCUAAGGUAGCGAAAUUCCUUGUCGGGUAAGUUCCGACCUGCACGAAUGGCGUAACGAUGGCCACACUGUCUCCUCCUGAGACUCAGCGAAGUUGAAAUGUUUGUGAUGAUGCAAUCUCCCCGCGGAAAGACGGAAAGACCCCAUGAACCUUUACUGUAGCUUUGUAUUGGACUUUGAACAGAUCUGUGUAGGAUAGGUGGGAGGCUUUGAAGCAGGGUCGCUAGAUCUUGUGGAGCCAACGUUGAAAUACCACCCUGGUGUGUUUGAGGUUCUAACCUAGGUCCAUUAUCUGGAUCGGGGACAGUGCAUGGUAGGCAGUUUGACUGGGGCGGUCUCCUCCCAAAGCGUAACGGAGGAGUUCGAAGGUACGCUAGUUACGGUCGGACAUCGUGACGAUAGUGCAAUGGCAUAAGCGUGCUUAACUGCGAGACUGACAAGUCGAGCAGAUGCGAAAGCAGGACAUAGUGAUCCGGUGGUUCUGUAUGGAAGGGCCAUCGCUCAACGGAUAAAAGGUACUCUGGGGAUAACAGGCUGAUACCGCCCAAGAGUUCAUAUCGACGGCGGUGUUUGGCACCUCGAUGUCGGCUCAUCUCAUCCUGGGGCUGUAGCCGGUCCCAAGGGUAUGGCUGUUCGCCAUUUAAAGAGGUACGUGAGCUGGGUUUAAAACGUCGUGAGACAGUUUGGUCCCUAUCUUCCGUGGGCGCUGCAGAUUUGAGGAAGCCUGCUCCUAGUACGAGAGGACCGGAAUGGACACACCUCUGGUGUAUCGGUUGUCACGCCAGUGGCAUUGCCGAGUAGCUAAGUGUGGAAGAGAUAACCGCUGAAAGCAUCUAAGCGGGAAACUCGUUUCAAGAUGAGAUCUGCCGGGGCCUUGAGCCCCCUAAAGAGUCGUUCAAGACCAGGACGUUGAUAGGUCAGGUGUGGAAGCG
rnacentral:rRNA from 1 species